rnacentral:ncRNA from 1 species
AAUUUUAGUGUUAAUUUUAGAUUAUUUAAAUAAUAAUUUAUGUUUAUAUGUAGUAAUUAAUAUUAAAUUAUUUAAGAAAUUAAGAUUUAGUAAUAUUUUAAUUAAUAACAAAUUUUGUGCCAGCAGUUGCGGUUAUACAAAAGUUAAAUUAAAUUUUAUUAGUAAUUAAUUAAUAAAAAUAUAUUAUAAUAAAAAUUUUAAAUUAUUAGGUGAAAUUUUAAUUUAAUGAAAUUUUAUAUAUUUAUUUAUGAUUUAAUAAAUUUUAUAAAAAACUAGGAUUAGAUACCCUAUUAUUAAAAUUUAAAAUUAAAAUACUAAAAUAGUAAAUAAUUAUUUAUUGAAACUUAAAUAAUUUGGCGGUAUUUUAGUUCAUUUAGAGGAAUCUGUUUAAUAAUUGAUAUUCCACGAAUAAAUUUACUUAGUUUAUAAUUUUGUAUAUCGUUGUUAAAAAAAUAUUUUUUAAUAAAAUUAAUAUUUAAAAAUUAUUAUAUAAAUUUAAAUCAGAUCAAGAUGCAGAUUAUAAUUAAGAAUAUAAUGGAUUACAAUAAAUUUAUUUAAAUGAAUAUUAAUUUGUAAUAAUUAAUUGAAAGUGGAUUUAAAUGUAAUUUUAUUUAGUUUAAUAAAAUGAUUAAAAAUUAAAAUAUGUACAUAUUGCCCGUCGCUUUCAUAUAAAUAAAAGUUGAAAUAAGUCGUAACAAAGUAGAGGUACUGGAAAGUGUUUCUAGAAAGAA